GAGAUGAGCGCUACACAGUCAAUGGCGGAAAGCGGGGUGAGCAGCCUCCAGCGCUCCGGCCUCAGCAUCACCGUCGGCGACACGAAGUCUAUUGUGCUAGCGUUGCAGGCGCUCCAGAGCAAGAUUCGCUCUCUCGAGCAAGACCGUGACUUUCAUCAAGAUCAGUACGAGGUGGCACUUCAGGCCCACGAGCGUUACAAGCUGGACAUGGAGCGCCAGAUGGAGCAAGAGCGUGCGGCACACCGUAAGAGGGAGGCGGAUCUGCUAGAGCUACUGCGCAGGGCGCGCGAAGAGCGAGCGCAGCUAGAGGACACCCUCAGCGGCAACAAGGAAGACCUCGGCGGCUUCCGGCGUGAGCUGGAGCAAAUGAUCGCCUCUGAAAAGGAGCUGGCGAGCCAGCGCGAGUCAAAGAUAAACAUGGAGGUGGCGAAGCUGCGUAGCGAAAUCAAGGAGGAGCAGACGCACCGAGCUGCUCUGUUGGUGACUGUGGAAAAGCUGAAGGAGGAGCGUGAGGCAGCUUUGAAAACGAACGAGCAGCUUCGGAUAGCCAUGGACGGUUUACUCACUCGCUAUGAGCAGCUGCAACGGCGCCGUCCGGCGCCUCAAGCGGUGCCGCGCCGGUAUCCGAGCAGUGGUGUAAGCUGUGAGACACACUCGCGGGCAGCACCGGCCACUGGUGCGCACCCACGGCGGAGCGUUAGUGGCCGCACCCGCUCUCUCGGGUAUGAACCGCCGCGCGAGCUGCAGCGGUCCGCAUUGCCUGCACGUCAGCGCAAGGUGUCUCCUUCGCUGCACCACAACUACGAAGACCCAACAUGUAACUCGAUUCUCCGUGAUGUGCGCAUCGUCCCGGAGGAGGCCCCGCCGUGCGCCUACCCGUCAGCGAAUUCAUCCAUGCAUCACUCGCAGCAGGAAGCGGCGGAGACGACCGGAAAGGCGAUCGCGGCUCGCAGCGGGCAAGGCCUGAGAGCACAGGCGACAGCUGCGCCGUCUCGAUCUGGAAGGCCAUCGCCUGCUCGCCGGCCCCCGGAGACUGGCGUGGCUGGCCCCUCAGCGCACCGCACGACGGCGAUAGAUGAGGUGGAGGCGCAACUCCGACAGGAGUUGGAGGAGCUGCAGCACCGCUACGAUGAUACGAUCGAGCGCGGUUCGUCCGAAGAGGUGCCGCGUGAGGUGCUCGCAGCUGCACUACACCGUAUUUCUGCCCUUUUGGAGCAAAAGAAGGAGCAGCUAAAGUUGCUCAAGGAGGCGCGGAUGGAGCUGGAGGAGGCUGUGUCGUUCAGUGCGUCUAGAAGCACAAACACUAAUUGGAGUAUGAACGGUGGCGGCGGCGGCUCACCGUCAACGUUGGCGAUGCAGGACAAGCACACACGCCGCGCUCUUCUCGUCAAUGAGCUUCGCUCUCUCUUAGCUGAGGCCGCGAAAGGCGGCUGAGUGCAAGGCUGCUACUGAAAAGACCACCGUUGAGUUGCAGAGGCUCAGCUACCUCUGCCGGCGGUACACGCACCCGUACCACAGCGCAAGCAGCUGAUCGAAAUCGAUUGCCCUGCCCUCAUGCUCUUGAGAGCAUACGAAGCAUCGCCUUAUUUUUUUCCGACACGACCAUCUCUCUUGUUCAACAUCCAGUUGAUCGCCCCGUAGACGCUUCUGCGCAGCCUUUGCGUGUGCGCCAACGGUGCCGUUCCGAGAGUCGAUGGAGCACUACCCCCUUGUUGUUGGUUCUCUGUGCCUCGAGCACCAUUCGCGCACAACAUGCCACACACAGUGAGAGAGAAAGAGCGAGCGCAGUGCAGUGCGUGUGUGGCGGAUGCCCCUCACUCCCCUUCUUUUUUUUUCAUUGCUUGCUUUGAUUCGUCUCGUCCUUCUGCCACCAUGGGCCUCCUCUGUGCCCCCCCCCCCUCCCUCCCACACACACACACACACACACGAGACUAUGAGACAUACACGCGGAGAAG
rnacentral:misc_RNA from 1 species